rnacentral:rRNA from 1 species
UACGUAGGGGGCAAGCGUUGUCCGGAAUUAUUGGGCGUAAAGAGCGUGUAGGCGGCCAGAUAAGUCCGCUGUGAAAUCUCGAGGCUCAACUUCGAGCUGUCGGUGGAAACUAUCUGGCUAGAGUCCGGAAGAGGAGAAUGGAAUUCCUGGUGUAGCGGUGAAAUGCGCAGAUAUCAGGAAGAACACCCGUGGCGAAGGCGGUUCUCUGGGACGGUACUGACGCUGAGACGCGAAAGCGUGGGAAGCGAACAGG